GACACUGGGAAGAGGGGGACAUUGGGGACAUUGGGGACACUGGGAUAGGGGGGACAUUGGGGACACUGGGGACAUGGGGAUGGGGGAAUGUGGGGACACCGGGAAUGUGGGGAUGGGGGGAUGAUGUCCCCAAGUAGUUCCAGGGGCCACCGUGGGGGACAAUGAACCCCAUUGAGGGACACCCAAUGGGCCAACAGAACAUUUAUAGGGCCACGUAACAACGCGAGCGACCCGACAUGAAGCCAAAGGGGGACAAUGGGUGGCGCUGAGUGACACCAAUGGCUCCCAAUGUCCCCAGGAGGGACAAUGGACCCCAUUGAGGGACACCCAACACCGAAGGUCACCCAAUGGGCCCCAAUACCACCUAUAGGGCCACGUAUCAACAUGAGCAUCCCAACAUGAAGACAACGGAGGACAAUGGGUGGCGCUGAGUGACACCAAUGGGUCCCAAUGUCCCCAAGUAGUUCCCAGGGCCACCAGGAGGGACAAUGGACCCCAUUGAGGGACACCCAACGCUGAAGGUCACCCAAUGGGCCCCAAUACCACCUAUAGGGCCACGUAUCAACAUGAGCAUCCCAACAUGAAGACAACGGAGGGCAAUGGGUGGCGCUGAGUGACACCAAUGGCUCCCAAUGUCCCCACAGAGCUCUGAGUGCCAUCAGGAGGGACAACGGACCCCAUUGAGGGACACCCCACACCAAAGGUCACCCAAUGGGCCAACAGAACAUUUAUAGGGCCACGUAACAACGCGAGCGACCC